GCGCUACAGGCCGCUUUGGUAACUUCAGGCAAGCCUCGGCCGAGGACGUGGUGGUGGUGCACGGACGGCGCACGGCCCUUGGCAAAGCGAGCCGCCGCGUCUUCAAGGGUGGAGUUUAUGUCAAUGGGUUGGAAUUUGAACCCUGGAAACAUUGCUUCCUAUGUGAGGGAGAACAAGAAGGCCAGAGACUGUCUGAUCCCCUGGGGAUAACCUCGGAGAACGUGGCUGAGUGGUUUGGUGUUUCAAGGGAGAAACAAGACACUUUUGCCGUGGCCUUCCAGCAGAAGAAACUCUAGUCAGGUGAGCGAUGGCGCAGCUGCCAUCCUCUUGGCCCAGAGGUCCAAGGCAGAAGAGUUGGGCCUCCCCAUCCUCGGAGUCCUGAGGCCCUAUGCAGGUUGGAGUCCCCUCUGAUGUCAUGGACAUUGGACCUACAUAUGCCAUUCCUACAGCCUUGGAGAAGUGGCUCCUUCAGACCCUAGACGUGGGUCCCCUCAUGCCCUGCUGCUGGGGGUGAGUACUGGGGAUAGAACUGCAAGUGCUGCAGAGUGAAGUUGGGGUGGGCUGGCAUUCCAUACCCAAGGCCUUUGUGACCUGUAGCUGAGACCCACUCACCUGUCUGAUGUGACAGCACACUAGGCAAUUGUGGGCCUGUGCAUGGGUGGAGGUCUGAGAAGACCUGGAUGCCUGCUCAUGGGCAUCAUUUAGUAGGCUAAAGUUGCAUGUCUGCCAUAGUGGGCUGGUUCUCCUCUGCUCUGAUCCUCCUCACCCCAACUCUUUCUCCCUAGGAAACUCUAGCCAGGUGAGUGAUGGGGCAGCUGCUGCCUUACUGGCCUGGAGGAUGCCUGCCCAGGUCUGAACCUCACCUCCAGGGCUGACAAUGAAUGAUGUGGACACCUUUGAGAUUAGUGAGGCCAGGUGAAUCUUAGUCUUCCCAUUGCCUGGUCCCUGGGCACCUAGUGGGAGCCAAUGGACAAGCCAUGCAGAGGAGGGGGUCAGCAUGUCCAGGUGGUUUACUGUGUGGAAAAUCUAGGAAUUCCCCCCCGAGAAGGUGAACCCUCUGGGAGGAGCAGUGGCCCCAGGCCACCCCCUGGGCUGCACUGGGGCAUGACAGGAAAUCAGCUGCUGAAUGAGUUAAAGUGCUGUGGGAAGAGGUAAGGCGGUUCCCCUUGGGGUGUCAUGGGGGAUGCUGAGCUGGGGCUUCAAAGGGUGGUAGCUUGGGGAGGUCAAUAUGUACUUUGAACUGGGCAUAUAGGGAAUGAUCUCUAUUGUCCCUGAGGGUCAGCCUUGAAAGGGCUUCUGGCCUACAGAGUGCAGCUGCCACUGUGAUGCCAAGGUGCAUAGUCGGGGGACUGAAUAUCCAAGAUCUGGUCUUCUGGUUUUUUGUAUCCUCUGGACAGGGGGUUGGGCCUCUUCCCAGAGUGCCUGUGCCCAGCCAACAUAGUUCCCUUUCCCAGGGCGUAUGGAGUGGUAUCCAUGUGCACUGGCACUGGGAUGGGAGCUGCUGCUGUCUUUGAAUACCCUGUGAACUGAGUCCCUGGCUCAAGGCUACCCAGACGGCCCUACUCUGGCAGCCAGAGAGUGGCU